UGGCAAUAUUUGGUUCUUGACAGCCUUUCUAGCAGAAAUGGUACAAUCGUUUAUCUUGGCUGAUUUUUGUUACUAUUACAUAAAAAGCUUCAAACAAGGCCAACUUUUGAGGAAAAUGCCAAUUUAAGGCCUGAGUUACAGAUUUAUAGUGUGUUUAGAUUUAAGAACACACCAAACUUAAGAUCAGUUGUUGAUACAUAUGCUUUUCCUAUUUUUAUGUUACAAUAUAUGUUCUGAGGGAUAUAUAAAAUGAUUUUACACAUUUUAUGUAAAAUGCAUACAAAUAUUUUGAGUGUUA